UUUUCCUACGGGGGGCAGCAGUUAGGAAUAUUCGGCAAUGGGGGAAACCCUGACCGAGCAAUGCCGCGUGUGAGAUGACAGCCCUAUGGGUUGUAAAUCACUUUUAUUUGGGAAGAAUUGUAAGCAUAGGAAAUGAUGUUUACUUGACGGUACCUUUUGAAUAAGCCCCGGCUAACUACGUGCCAGCAGCCGCGGUAAUACGUAGGGGGCGAGCGUUAUCCGGAUUUAUUGGGUUUAAAGGGAGCGUAGAUGGGUUGUUAAGUCAGUUGUGAAAGUUUGCGGCUCAACCGUAAAAUUGCAAUUGA
rnacentral:rRNA from 1 species